rnacentral:rRNA from 1 species
GACGAACGCUGGCGGCGUGCUUAACACAUGCAAGUCGAACGGAAAGGCCCUGCUUUUGUGGGGUGCUCGAGUGGCGAACGGGUGAGUAACACGUGAGUAACCUGCCCUUGACUUUGGGAUAACUUCAGGAAACUGGGGCUAAUACCGGAUAGGAGCUCCUGCUGCAUGGUGGGGGUUGGAAAGUUUCGGCGGUUGGGGAUGGACUCGCGGCUUAUCAGCUUGUUGGUGGGGUAGUGGCUUACCAAGGCUUUGACGGGUAGCCGGCCUGAGAGGGUGACCGGCCACAUUAGGACUGAGAGACGGCCCAGACUCCUACGGGAGGCAGCAGUGGGGAAUAUUGCACAAUGGGCGGAAGCCUGAUGCAGAAACGCUGCGGGCGGGAUGACGGCCUUCGGGUUGUAAACCGCUUUCGCCUGUGACGAAGCGUUAGUGACGGUAAUGGGUAAAGAAGCACCGGCUAACUACGUG